rnacentral:misc_RNA from 1 species
GGCACUUACAACUCAUAUAUAUGCAAAGUUCUCAUCAAUAGAAACGAAUUAAGUUCAAACAGCAGGUAAUUGCUAUAAAUCGUUAAAGAGUUCCCUCGACUAACUUUUGUCUCCAUCAUCAGACUGUAAUGGUACUUAUAACUCAUACAGGUGCAAAGUUCUCAUCAAUAGAAACGAUUUAAGUUCAAAAAGCAGGUAAUUGCUAUAAAUUGU